rnacentral:rRNA from 1 species
GACGAACGCUGGCGGCGUGCUUAACACAUGCAAGUCGAACGGAAAGGCCCUGCUUUUGUUGGGUGCUCGAUUGGCGAACGGGUGAGUAACACGUGAGUAACCUGCCCUUGACUUUGGGAUAACUUCAGGAAACUGGGGCUAAUACCGGAUAGGAGCUCCUGCUGCAUAGUGGUGGUUGGAAAGUUUCGGCGGUUGGGGAUGGACUCGCGGCUUAUCAGCUUGUUUGUGGGGUAGUGGCUUACCAAGGCUUUGACGGGUAGCCGGCCUGAGAGGGUUACCGGCCACAUUGGGACUGAGAUACGGCCCAGAAUCCUACGGGAGGCAGCAGUGGGGAAUAUUGCACAAUGGGCGGAAGCCUGAUGCAGCAACGCCGCGUGCGGGAUGACGGCCUUCGGGGUGUAAACCGCUUUCGCCUGAGACGAAGCGUGAGUGACGGUAAUGGGUAAAGAAGCACCGGCUAACUACGUG